UACGAAGGGGGCUAGCGUUGUUCGGAAUCACUGGGCGUAAAGCGCACGUAGGCGGAUCUUUAAGUCAGGGGUGAAAUCCCGAGGCUCAACCUCGGAGCUGCCUUUGAUACUGGGGAUCUCGAGUCCGGGAGAGGUGAGUGGAACUGCGAGUGUAGAGGUGAAAUUCGUAGAUAUUCGCAAGAACACCAGUGGCGAAGGCGGCUCACUGGCCCGUAACUGACGCUGAGGCACGAAAGCGUGGGGAGCAAACAGG
rnacentral:rRNA from 1 species